GCAGAGGGGUGGGACAUGAAGGGGAAGUGUAAAAGGCCAGCCCAGCGGCUCAAGUGGAAGGGAGCUGCUUCCCCACUGCUGAAGUAGGAUGCCAAGGAGAACAGCUGCUGCUCCAAAGACUUGCAUGAGCUUCCAAAGAGUCCUGCCCCUCUCAACACAGAGGAGUUGUUACUGCUACCCCUGGUGGCGCAUCCUGAGGAGACGGAGGACAACUGCUGGGCUGCUUCCAGGGGAACCAGACUACUGUCUUGCUGUGGUGCCACCGGAAACACGCUCAAGUAAUGUGCUGGAAUGCCAUGACCUUGGGGAUUCAAGUUACUACUAGCAAAGAACAGAACUCACCAUUCAGCAAAGAAAGCCCUUAAGAACCCAUAUUGCCACAAAAGGACUAUUCUAAGCAGAACAAAGAGGAUCGACGUGAAACUCCGAAGUGGAAGGGGGGCAGUGGGGCACCCACAGGGCCCUCGAAGAACCUCAGUGACUGCACAAGAAUGCUAGUGCUCUACAGACAUCCAGCAUGUGGAGGGAAGCCUCUCGGUUGUCUGCAUGCUGUUUGGGGAAAAAUACAGACGUCACAAGAAUUCUAACAAGCAAGUUCACAGACGGCAAAGGAGCACCACUGAACUGUACACAUUCACGCAGGCUGCUUCCUGAAUGACUGGGGCCAGAGAGGAAAAUAUGAUCAAAAACAUUUGGCAAAAUAAUCUGCACUUGUUUCCCAACUUCUGCUUGAAUGCACAAAUCUCAAAGAAAUUAGAGUAGGCUGCUUGUUGUGGGGAUUUUCCUUGUGUAUUGUUGUUGCUUUGUUAAGGUAAGUAGGAAGAAGAUGGGAGAGAAGACUGGAUUCUUCAGGGGAUCAGUAUUGGUAAUAAGACAUGGAAGUCAUUUGUUCAAAUACAGCACAAGAUCAUAAUCUGCAAUGAUUGUUCCCUGCCCAUUCUGAACUGUGCUGUAGGUCUCAGUCCAGCAAACUACAAGCCUAACUUUAGACACAUGGACGAGUCUAAUUUAUUUCACAUGCUGGAAGUUAGACACGUGCUUCAGCACCUUGCUGAAUCAGGACCCUAAUGCACAGUACAGAUCACAAAUGGCAUGCUCUCUCUAUAUCAUCAACAAAAAGGCCAAAUACCAAAGGAGCAUGGAAAUCAAAAUACGCUUGUAUCUCUGGAGACAGUCGCUCCAGGUCAAGCUUGAGACAUGUUGAUGGAUUGUUUUGACUGUUCUGCAGGAAACCGAAGUUUUCAGUCUUCAGGACCUUUGCUAUGGUAUGUUCACAAGCAUUAAAUGAAGUGAAGCCUAAACGGAAUAUGGCAUUAUCGAUGGA